UACGUAGGGUGCAAGCGUUAAUCGGAAUUACUGGGCGUAAAGCGUGCGCAGGCGGUUAUGCAAGACAGAUGUGAAAUCCCCGGGCUUAACCUGGGAAUUGCAUUUGUGACUGCACGGCUAGAGUGUGUCAGAGGGGGGUAGAAUUCCACGUGUAGCAGUGAAAUGCGUAGAUAUGUGGAGGAAUACCGAUGGCGAAGGCAGCCCCCUGGGAUAACACUGACGCUCAUGGCACGAAAGCGUGGGGAGCAAACAGG
rnacentral:rRNA from 1 species